rnacentral:tRNA from 1 species
GGGCACAUGGUAUAGUUGGUUAUCACGUCCGCUUAGCACUUCAAAUGCAUGCGGGCGGUGCCCGGUUCAAUUCUGGGUGUGUCCA